AUACGGAGGGUGCAAGCGUUAUUCGGAAUCACUGGGCGUAAAGGACGCGUAGGCGGGUUGGCAAGUCAGAUGUGAAAUCCUACAGCUUAACUGUAGAACUGCAUUUGAAACUGCUAACCUAGAGUAUGGGAGGGGGAGAUGGAAUUAGUGGUGUAGGGGUAAAGUCCGUAGAUAUCACUAGGAAUACCGAAAGCGAAGGCGAUCUCCUUGAACAUAACUGACGCUAAGGCGUGAAAGCGUGGGGAGCAAACAGGAGUAGAAACCCUAGUAGUCC
rnacentral:rRNA from 1 species